rnacentral:rRNA from 1 species
CGCUGGCGGCAGGCUUAACACAUGCAAGUCGAGCGUAGCACAAGAGAGCUUGCUCUCUGGGUGACGAGCGGCGGACGGGUGAGUAAUGUCUGGGAAACUGCCUGAUGGAGGGGGAUAACUACUGGAAACGGUAGCUAAUACCGCAUAACGUCGCAAGACCAAAGAGGGGGACCUUCGGGCCUCUUGCCAUCAGAUGUGCCCAGAUGGGAUUAGCUAGUAGGUGGGGUAAUGGCUCACCUAGGCGACGAUCCCUAGCUGGUCUGAGAGGAUGACCAGCCACACUGGAACUGAGACACGGUCCAGACUCCUACGGGAGGCAGCAGUGGGGAAUAUUGCACAAUGGGCGCAAGCCUGAUGCAGCCAUGCCGCGUGUGUGAAGAAGGCCUUCGGGUUGUAAAGCACUUUCAGCGAGGAGGAAGGUGGUGAACUUAAUACGUUCAUCAAUUGACG